AUCGCUUCUCGGCCUUUUGGCUCAGAUCAAGUGUAGUAUCUGUUCUUAUCAGUUUAGUAUCUGAGACGUCCCCCAUCGGGGGACUACUUAUUACAUGGAUUUUUCUAACAGGGAGUCGGAAAUGGGGCUUGCACCGUCCGCUCCACGCAUCGACCCGGUAUUGCAGU
rnacentral:snRNA from 8 species